AAGCCGCAGUUCUUCUUCUUCAGUCUCGCGCAGCCUGAGGCCCUGAGCCUCAUCUCUCUCUCGCUCUGUCUCUCUCAAUCUCUCAGGCGACUCGCGACGGUCGACAGCAAAAGUCUUGAAUCCCAGGCGACAUCGAGUUCGCGACCGGCGGACCUUUCUCACUCUCAAAUUGUCUCUGUCUCUCACACGGUUCGUCUUUGGGAUGCUCGGAGUGGAAAAUGUGCUAUAAACCUGAUGGGACGCACAUCGCCGUUGGUUAUAGGGAUGAUGAACUAACAAUUUUGGAUGUUCGGAAGUUUAAGCCGAUUCACAAGCGAAAGUUCAAUUAUGAGGAUGCGGGUUUUGUCUCUGUUUCCGCUGGAAUCCCAGGAGUUUCUUCAGAAAAAGAAAGAUCGCUAAAGUUUGGCUUAGUGUUUAUGCAAUUGUAAAAAAAUUGGCUUAGUGUUUAUGCAAAAUAAUUUUGGAGGGAGAAAUAAAAAAAAAUAAAAAAAUAAAAAAAAAAAAAAAAAACCGAAACCGAACCGAGAAAAACCGAACCGAAAAAAAACCGAACCGAAAAAAACCGAAAUAAAAUUGAACCGAACCGAAAUUUUGGUUCGGUUUCGGUUUUGAGAAAAAACCGAACCGAUGAGAACCGAACCCAG